AGAGUUUGAUCCUGGCUCAGAACGAACGCUGGCGGCGUGCUUAACACAUGCAAGUCGAACGAGAAAGCUUCCUUCGGGAAGCGAGUAGAGUGGCGCACGGGUGAGUAACGCGUAGGUAAUCUACCCUUAUAUUUGGGAUAACAUUGGGAAACUGGUGCUAAUACCGAAUACCCUUCUUUGCCGCGGGGCGAAGAAGGAAAGGUGGCCUCUUCAUGAAAGCUACCGUAUAGGGAUGAGCCUGCGUACCAUUAGCUAGUAGGUGAGGUAACGGCCCACCUAGGCAACGAUGGUUAGCGGGUCUGAGAGGAUGAUCCGCCACACUGGAACUGAAACACGGACCAGACUCCUACGGGAGGCAGCAGUGAGGAAUAUUGCGCAAUGGGGGAAACCCUGACGCAGCGACGCCGCGUGAGUGACGAAGGUUUUCGGAUCGUAAAGCUCUGUCAGAAGGGAAGAAGUGCUAUAUGGUUAAUACCCAUAUAGUUUGACGGUACCUUCAGAGGAAGCACCGGCUAACUCCGUGCCAGCAGCCGCGGUAAUACGGAGGGUGCAAGCGUUGUUCGGAAUUACUGGGCGUAAAGGGCGCGUAGGCGGCUUGAUAAGUCAGAUGUGAAUCCACGGCUUAACCGUGGAAGUGCAUUUGAAACUGUCAGGCUUGAGUAUCGGAGGGGAGUGUGGAAUUCCCGGUGUAGAGGUGAAAUUCGUAGAGAUCGGGAGGAACACCGGUGGCGAAGGCGACACUCUGGACGAAUACUGACGCUGAGGCGCGAAAGCGUGGGGAGCAACCAGGAUUAAAUACCCUGGUAGUCCACGCCGUAAACGAUGUGAACUAGGGAUAGGGGGUGUUGAUCCCUCCUGUCCCGCAGCUAACGCAUUAAGUUCC
rnacentral:rRNA from 1 species